GGAAAGGAACCCGGAGCCUGUGCCUGCCAGACAGGUGGCCUACCACUGAGUGGCAUCCCAGCCUGGGUUUGGCUUCUAUCUGCCCCGAAGGAUUUUGGAAAGUCCAGCUACAAAGGGGAUAUUUUUCACUCUUCCUGACAGCAGUUGACUUGCUAAGAACACAAUCAACUGCCUCUUCAAGUCCAGCAAUAGAGUACAACUUCACAGAAGCCGGAUUGCUUGGGGCGUUACGAAGGUGUGUAACCCACAGCGAAGGCACGUUGCUAAAGCCGAUGAAUGCUGAGUAGAAUACAGACAAUGGGACGUUGGGGUUUCCUGGCUGUGAAUAGAGCACUGCACGAAAUUGCCACUUUAAACAAUUCCUUUGUGUAUGAAGCUCAUCCGAAAUAAGUUGGAUCACCACUUAUUUCGUUUAUAUAGGCAUAUCAGUUGUUUCCGAUGUAUUUUCAAGGAAACAUGCUGACAGCAUCAGGCAGAGACAGGAACGCAGUGGAUAUGAAGUGAGGUGAGUCUUUUCGUCUCUCUCUGCAUUGCUGAACCCCCGGGCUGGGCUUCUCACGUGCCAGACAAAUGCUUCGCCACUGAGCCACUUCCCUGGCUCUUGUUCUUCCAAGACAGUGCCUCACUAUGCAGCUCUGGCUUGCCUCAAACUAACUUGUAAGCCUCCUACUUUCACCUAGCAAGA